UGGCGGACGGGUGAGUAACGCGUGGGCAACCUGCCUUACACAGGGGGACAACAGCUGGAAACGGCUGCUAAUACCGCAUAUGCGCACAGGGCCGCAUGGUCUGGUGCGGAAAACUCCGGUGGUGUAAGAUGGGCCCGCGUCUGAUUAGGUAGUUGGCGGGGUAACGGCCCACCAAGCCGACGAUCAGUAGCCGGCCUGAGAGGGUGGACGGCCACAUUGGGACUGAGACACGGCCCAAACUCCUACGGAAGGCAGCAG
rnacentral:rRNA from 1 species